UACGUAGGGGGCUAGCGUUGUCCGGAUUUAUUGGGCGUAAAGAGCGUGUAGGCGGCCAGGUAGGUCUGGUGUGAAAACUCGAGGCUUAACCUUGAGAUGUCAUCGGAAACCAUUUGGCUAGGGUCCGGAAGAGGAAAGUGGAAUUCAUGGUGUAGCAGUGAAAUGCGUAGAUAUCAUGAGGAAUACCAGAGGCGAAGGCGGCUACCUGGACAAUUGCUGACGCUCAGGCACGAAAGCGUGGGGAGCAAAAGGG
rnacentral:rRNA from 1 species